CCUUGACAUACUAAGAACUUUCCAGAGAUGGAUUGGUGCCUUCGGGAACUUAGAUACAGGUGCUGCAUGGCUGUCGUCAGCUCGUGUCGUGAGAUGUUGGGUUAAGUCCCGCAACGAGCGCAACCCUUUUCCUUAUUUGCCAGCGGGUCAUGCCGGGAACUUUAAGGAUACUGCCAGUGACAAACUGGAGGAAGGCGGGGACGACGUCAAGUCAUCAUGGCCCUUACGGCCAGGGCUACACACGUGCUACAAUGGUCGGUACAAAGGGUUGCUACCUCGCGAGAGGAUGCUAAUCUCAAAAAGCCGAUCGUAGUCCGGAUCGCAGUCUGCAACUCGACUGCGUGAAGUCGGAAUCGCUGGUAAUCGCGGAUCAGAAUGCCGCGGUGAAUACGUUCCCGGGCCUUGUACACACCGCCCGUCACACCAUGGGAGUUUGUUGCACCAGAAGUAGGUAGUCUAACCGCAAGGAGGACGCUUACCACGGUGUGGCCGAUGACUGGGGUGAAGUCGUAACAAGGUAGGCGUAGAUGA
rnacentral:rRNA from 1 species